UACGUAGGUGGCGAGCGUUGUCCGGAUUUAUUGGGCGUAAAGGGCGCGCAGGUGGUGCGGUAAGGCUGCCGUGAAAUCUCCCGGCUCAACUGGGAGGGUGCGGUGGCGACUGCCGGACUGGAGGCACUCAGAGGCCGGUGGAAUUCCCGGUGGUAGUGGUGAAAUGCGUAGAGAUCGGGAGGAACACCAGUGGCGAAGGCGGCCGGCUGGGGGUGACC
rnacentral:rRNA from 1 species